AUGUGUCUUAUAAAGCGGACGAGAUGCAAAUCCAGCGCCUGGGCGCGCUAUAGAAACCCCGUUAUCUCCGGGACCCCGCCGUUGGGGAGGGACAAGUCCGUGCAGAUCCCACCAGAAACCCCCAGCGUCAGCAACAUGAGUCUGUGGCUGAGCCUCGCUUUCUUCCUAGCGGCCCUUCCAGGUGCCCGGUCCCAGGUCCAGCUGGUGGAGUCCGGAGGGGGGAUUCAAACCCCCGGGGGAUCUCUCCGCCUCGCCUGCCAAGCCUCCGGAUUCACCUUCGGCAGCUACUGGAUGCGCUGGGUCCGCCAGGCUCCGGGGAAAGGACUGGAGUGGGUCGCAGAGAUCCGCAAUCCUGCUUAUAGCUCAGCAGCAUAUUACAGUGAUGCGGUUAAAGGGCGAUUCACCAUCUCCAGGGACGAGUCCCGCAGCUCGGUGUAUCUGCAGAUGAACAGCCUGAGAGCGGAGGACACCGCCCGGUAUUACUGUGCCAGAAGAGACACAGCGAUAUGA